rnacentral:rRNA from 1 species
GACGAACGCUGGCGGCGUGCCUAAUACAUGCAAGUCGCACGCAGUGGGGAAGGGUGAGUAACCCGUGGGUAACCUCCCAUCAGAGGGGAUAACACUUGGAAACAGGUGCUAAACCGAUACUGAUGGAUGGACCCGCGGUGCAUUAGCUAGUUGGUGAGGUAACGGCUACACAGUGCCACGAUGCAUAGCAGACCUGAGAGGGUGAUCGGCCACAUUGGGACUUAGACACGGCCCAGACUCAUACGGUAGGCAGCAGUAGGGAAUCUUCGGCAAUGGACGAAAGUCUGACCGAGCAACUCCGCGUGAGGGAAGAAGGUUUUCGGAUCGUAAAACUCUGUUGUUAGAGAAGCGGUAUCUAACCAGAAAGCCACGGCUAACUACGUGCCAGCAGCCGCGGUAAUAC